GGCUCAGGACGAACGCUGGCGGCGUGCUUAAAACAUGCAAGUCGAACGAGCACUUCGGUGCUAGUGGCAAACGGCUGAGUAACGCGUGGGUGACCUACCUGGAAGUGGGGAAUAACUGCCCGAAAGGGUGGCUAAUACCGCAUGUGAUGGCGAGUGUAGAGCUCGUUAUGAAAGUCUUCGGACGCUUCGAGAGGGGCCCGCGUUCGAUUAGCUAGUUGGUGGGGUAACGGCCUACCAAGGCGACGAUCGAUAGCUGGUCUAAGAGGAUGAUCAGCCAGACUGGGACUGCGACACGGCCCAGACUCCUACGGGAGGCAGCAGUUAGGAAUUUUGGGCAAUGGGCGAAAGCCUGACCCAGCAACGCCGCGUGGGUGAUGAAGGCCUUCGGGUCGUAAAGCCCUUUUUCAGGGGAAGAUGAUGACGGUACCCUGAGAAUAAGCCCCGGCUAACUACGUGCCAGCAGCCGCGGUAAUACGUAGGGGGCAAGCGUUGUCCGGAUUUAUUGGGCGUAAAGCGCGCGUAGGCGGCGCGGUAUGUCGUGCGUGAAAUCUCCCGGCUUAACUGGGAGGGGCCGUGCGAAACUGCCGGGCUUGAGGUCAGAAGGGGAAAGUGGAAUUCCGGGUGUAGUGGUGGAAUACGUAGAUAUCCGGAGGAACACCAGCGGCGAAGGCGGCUUUCUGGUCUGAUACUGACGCUGAGGCGCGAAAGCGUGGGGAGCGAUCCGGAUUAGAUACCCGGGUAGUCCACGCCGUAAACGAUGAGUACUAGGUGUCGGGGGUAUCGACCCCCUCGGUGCCGUCGCUAACGCAUUAAGUACUCCGCCUGGGGACUACGGGCCGCAGGCUAAAAC
rnacentral:rRNA from 1 species